GGGCGUAUGGUCUAGUGGUAUGAUUUCUGUUUUGCAAUGCCUUUGGCACCUUGCUCUUACAGACGGUCCCGCGUUCGAUCCGCGGUACGUCCA